rnacentral:rRNA from 1 species
GACAGAGGUGCCGAGCGUUAGGCGGAAUCACUGGGCUUAAAGCGUGUGUAGGCGGACCGUUAAGUGCCUUGUGAAAUCCCCCGGCUCAACCGGGGAGCGGCUGGGUAUACUGGCGGUCUUGAGCCACCUAGGGGCGAGCGGAACAAGCGGUGGAGCGGUGAAAUGCGUAGAUAUCGCUUGGAACGCCGACGGUGAAAACAGCUCGCUGGGGGUGUGCUGACGCUGAGACACGAAAGCCAGGGGAGCAAACGGG